GGAAAUGUUAUCCACCCCACCCUUUUCCCAAGACAGACUUUAAAAGUGCUGUAUUCCUUUUGCAUUCUAAAAAUUGCAUUUAAUAUUUCUAUAUUGUAUUUCUAUGCUUUAUCCAGUUGUUAAAAAUAUACACACUAUGUUCUCUACCUUAAACAUAAUGAUUUCAGGUUUAUACACUCCAAACCAACCUAGGCAGGGUAAACAACAUCUAAUUUUGCCAGCUUCCACAAUCUGUACCAUUCUGAGGCGACUACUUCAGAGCCAGGACAACAGGUCCUCCCCACAUCUUGAAACUAGACCAUCAGUCGAGGCCCAUAUAACCUAGUGGCUAUUGUUAAGUGCUUUCCUCCUUUCAUGACCUUUAAUCUGUAAAUGCAACUAAUUUUCCCCACCACAUCCCACAUCAUCAUGAUCACAAAUCCCGUUAACAAACCUUUACACAGAAUUCAGAUUAUUCAAAUUAACAUUUUGCGAGCUCUUUGCUCUAUAUUUAACAAACUACUUUGUCUAUGCUGCAAAUGAAUGUUACUCCAACCCCUUCUUUUCUUUCAAACACACAUUGCAUAUCAUCUUCACUUAUAAAUGUCUAGCUUCUUUUAUAAUCUUUUUUUUCUUUUGAAGGUCAAUUGAACUUGAUCAUCUUUCUGAUCCUUCUUAACCAUGUGUGAGAUCUUUUUGUCAGCUAAAACUUCAAAAUUAUAGUUGCAUA